GACGAACGCUGGCGGCGUGCUUAACACAUGCAAGUCGAACGAAGUGGCGGACGGGUGAGUAACGCGUAAUCAACCUGCCCUUCGGAGGGGGACAACAGUUGGAAACGACUGCUAAUACCGCAUACUGAAGGAGGGGAUGGCGUCGGAUUAGCUAGUUGGGGGGGUAACGGCCCACCAAGGCGAUGAUACAUAGCCGACCUGGGAGGGUGAUCGGCCACACUGGGACUGAGAAAACGCCCAGACUCCUUCCGGGAGCCGCAGUAGGGAAUCUUCGGCAAUGGACGAAAGUCUGACGGCGCAACGCCGCGUGAGUGAUGACGGCCUUCGGGUUGUAAAGCUCUGUUAAUCGGGACGCGGUACCGGAAUAGAAAGCCACGGCUAACUACGUGCCAGCAGCCGCGGUAAUAC
rnacentral:rRNA from 1 species